rnacentral:rRNA from 1 species
GAUGAACGCUGACAGCAUGCUUAACACAUCAGCAAUUGAUUGGUGGCGGACGGGUGCGUAACGCGUAUAGAACUUGCUUCACAGGUAGGGACAACAUUUGGAACCGAAUGCUUAUACCUAAUCCUGUGAGAGAGCUUUCCGUCCCAUUAGCUCGUUGGAGAGGUAACGGCUCACCCAGGCGAUGAUGGGUAGCCGGCCUGAGAGGGUGAUCGGCCACAAGGGGACUGGGACACGGGCCUUACUCCUACGGGAGGCAGCAGUGGGGAAUAUUGGACAAUGGACCAAAGUAUGAUCCAGCAAUUAGGGGUGCACGAUAAAGUUGUCGGAAGGAAAAGUGCUUUGAGUUGGGAAGCGGUACCAACAGAAGAAGUGACGGCUAACUACGUGCCAGCAGCCGCGGUAAUAC